rnacentral:sRNA from 1 species
GCCACUCACACCUGUGCACCCUCUGUAGUUCCAUGGCGUGGGGGACUCUGUCCUCCUGUUGUGGUCCUACGUCUWUACACACACUCUGUAACAAAGUCUCAUGGAAUGCAAUGACGCGUUUAACGCAAUACAAUACAACUUUCAGCAACGGAUCUCUUGGCUCUCGCAUCGAUGAAGAACGCAGCGAAAUGCGAUAAGUAAUGUGAAUUGCAGAAUUCAGUGAAUCAUCGAAUCUUUGAACGCACCUUGCGCCCUUUGGCUGUUCCGAAGGGCAUGCCUGUUUGAGUAUCGUGAACACCUCAACUCUCAUGGUUUGCCAUGAUGAGCUUGGACUUUGGGGGUUUUGCUGGCCUUUGGUCGGCUCCUCUCAAACGGAUCAGCUUUCCAGUGUUUGGUGGACGUCACGGGUGUGAUAACUAUCUACGCCUGUGGUUUUCUGCCAGAUAACCUUCAGCGAUGGAGGUUCGCUGGGGCUCAUAAAUGUCUCUCUUCAGRGGAAACAGCUUUUUGGACGUAUGAUCUCAAAUCAGGUAGGACUACCCGCUGAACUUAAGCAUAUCAAUAAGCGGAGG